rnacentral:rRNA from 1 species
UACGGAGGUGGCAAGCGUUGUUCGGAAUUACUGGGCGUAAAGCGCGCGCAGGCGGUUUCUUAAGUCUGGUGUGAAAGCCCACGGCUCAACCGUGGAGGGUCAUUGGAAACUGGGGAACUUGAGUGCAGAAGAGAAAAGCGGAAUUCCACGUGUAGCGGUGAAAUGCGUAGAGAUGUGGAGGAACACCAGUGGCGAAGGCGGCUUUUUGGUCUGUAACUGACGCUGAGGCGCGAAAGCGUGGGGAGCAAACAGG